rnacentral:rRNA from 1 species
UGUAAGCGUAUACCAAAGUUGUUGCAGUUAAAACGCUCGUAGUCGGAAUUUGGCAGUUCCGGAUGUGUGCACGUCGUGUGCGCACUUCGCGGGGAUCGCUUUUGUGGUCUUGCGUAGGAUGAGGCACUUUUAUUAGUGAACGUCCUCACGCAACCACUUUUUACUGUGGGAAAGUCAGAGUGCUCAAAGCAGGCAUUUGCCGUGAAUGUAUUAGCAUGGAAUAAUAGAAUAGGACUUGGUUCUAUUUUGUUGGUUUGUUGGGACUGAGUAAUGAUUAAGAGGGACAGUUGGGGGCAUUUGUAUUUCGGUGCUAGAGGUGAAAUUCUUAGAUUACCGAAAGACAAACUGCUGCGAAAGCGUCUGCCAAGGAUGUUUUCAUUGA